GAACGGCCCUGCCCCGGCUGAGGGCUGGGGGCGCGGCUGCUUCUGCCUCUCUCCGAAGGACCGGCGGCCGAUUCUAUCCUGGGCAUUGCUGAGUAUAAAAGAGCUCGGUUGCUGCUGUGGGGCACUGAAAGUAAACAGCGGGAGUAGGGAGUCUGAGUGUUCUCGCAACAAAACAGCCCUUAGAGGAAAUAACCAAAGAGCUCAAAACUGCGCUGGUGUCCCUCACCAGACUGCACAGCAGCAGCUGUUUGCCCAGGAGCACCUGAGGGUUCUGAGGCAUCAGAUGCAUCUUCACACCAGUGGCAGCUACAACCAGCUCCAUUUUGCUACCAGAACAUCCUCCAGCUAGACAGCAAACCCCAACCCCAGGAAAACUGUGACUGUGCCAGAAUUUCUGUCUAGCUCACUGUGAUUAAUAGACCUCGGACUGUAAGGAAGGAGUAUUGAUAUCAUAAAUAACACACUUCAUAAGGAAGGUUAAUUUUCAGACUAUCCAGAAAUAAUCUACAGACCCCUAAAAGUCAUAGCCAGGCUGAAAAUGAAGUUAGUUCUCCCAACACUGCCAGCAAAAUAACUUACGGAGCAGUGUUUUCCCUAGAGAGCUCACAUGUAAGUGCCUACCCAGCCUAAGACUCUUAAAGUAAUCAUCUUAUCAGCCCUUACUAUGUCAUCCUGCACCCUUAAAGAAAGACAAAAAUAGACUGUUGAAGGAUUUAUUAUGAAACCACUCCUGUUCUCAUAAACUUGUAUCCGUGCCUAGGUGAAUGGUUUCCUGCAUGCUGGGAAAAGGAAUAAAUUAAAAAUAAUCUAGAAGAAUGUGAAGAGAUCAAAUAAUAGAUUUUUAAUAUUUGUUAUCUGGAUAAUGAACAUAGCAGAGAAACUGAUUGGAAAGUAAUUUGCUAAGUGAUACAAGCAGAAAGACAUUCAGGAAGAUGGAAUGGAAAUAUCUUGGGGAACAUCUGGCAAAUUAAACAAUUUCAAUUAGGCUUACAAGAAAACAAGGAAAUGCAUGCCAGAUUGAGGAGAGAAGCAUUUAAAAUCACUUGGAAUCCUGAUGGUUUCUCAAAUAAUCCGUCAACUCAGAAUGUCAUGAUUCUCAGAGCAAUAGGUAGCUCACAGAGGUUUCAGUUAUUAAUUUCCCUUUUUGUUUUCCCCCAAGGAUCCAUUCUACUUAAGUAUAUAAAACCAAGACUUUAUAGGUACAGUUAAAGAGGCUAUCAUGAAAGAUUAAGUUUAUUAUCACUGAUGUGUUUGGUUAAGGGCAAAAUAAAAACAUUCCUGAAUGGAAGCUGCUCUGCCCCUCCCCCCCGCCCCCCAUUUAAAAAAAUAUUUAAAAAAAUAAACUUAUAAGCCCCACAGUAAAUAUUGUUCAGCUGCUGCAACAAACAAAACAUAGCAGAAUACCUGACCUUUUGUUAUUUUUAAAAUGCACUGGCUUCUUCCUCACUAAUAAUGACUGUUCUGGCAUUUAUCAACAAAAUAUGCAUAGAAAAGUGAGGUGAGCUUGAUUAAAAUAAAGUGAAUGACUAUAGGAACUUUUAGACAGCUUUACUGGUGACAUCCUAAAAUAAACUGACUGAAAAAAAAAAAGAAUACUUGGCCAAAUGUAAUUUAUAAUGAACAAAGUCUCUAAUAUUCUAUAUUCCAGGGCAAAAAGCUUUGAUCCUUGCUGGAGACAUGGUACUGAGUAGCAGAUUGUUAGACAGACCUAUCAUAGUAAUUCCUAUGUUGCCACAGUUUAAACACAGAUCCUGUACCAACUACCUGCACCUACACAGACCUUACAAAAUGCUCAGCUAACUAUCUCCAUGUAAUCAAAUGUAGGAACAACUAGCAAGGAUAAUUAUUAUUAGCAUAAACCUAUUUUGUCAUAUGCUUUCCUUCUAAUUCAUCAGCAGAAUAAAUUUGAUUUUCCUAGGAGUUUUUUAAGCUUUCUGACAGUAAUUGUGUCUUUUCUGUGGAGUGCCAGUGUGAUACGAGUCGAUCUUUGUGGAGAUAACCACCCACUGAGAGCACCAUGUGCCACAGGAGCCAGCAUUGCACAAGACAGGCAUGAUUUUCAUCUGUGUACUUGAAGUAUAACUCUUCAGGUUUAGGUUUUCACACCAUUUAACCUUUAUUUUUACUCCAUUUAAAAUUAUAUAUCCAAAACUAUAAUGAAUGAACAUGUAUGAGCAAAGUAAAGUUAUAUUAAUAUCCAGUAAGAAAGUCAUAGUAAGACUCUGAAUGCAAAGCUGCAUGAUCUAUUCAGUUUUUAAAUACAUAUAUGACAUUAUCAACUGGUUGUAUAAUACAUAAUUUAUGACAGAAUUAAUCUGAUUAUAAGAGCAGUCUAGCUGACCAUAGAAAAAAUAACAGUUCAAUAAUAUGGAUGUUGUUCAACUUGUAGAAUUAUAUACUUGUUUUAAAGAAUGUGGUAACAAUACUCUUCUGUGCUUGCUGUGUUUUGUGAGUGAUCAUCAAACAUAUUCACAAGUCAUCUUUUCCCAGCCUGUGGCAAAACCAUCCUAGGAACUCUCCUACCAUACUGUUCCAUGUCCUAUCAGUAUACAUAUUAAUUUAUUGAGUUGCAUAGGAAAGUGUUCCGAUUUUCAUUUUUAUCUUCAAGAUAAAAAUGGCAUUUCUCAAUCACAGAUGAA